rnacentral:rRNA from 1 species
GACGGAGGUGGCGAGCGUUGUUCGGAAUCACUGGGCUUAAAGGGCACGCAGGCGGUUAAGUGUGUCCGGUGUGAAAUCCCUCGGCUCAACCGAGGAACUGCGCCGGAAACUACUUGACUUGAGGGUUGGAGAGGUGAGUGGAACUCCAGGUGUAGCGGUGAAAUGCGUAGAUAUCUGGAGGAACGCCGGAGGCGAAAGCGACUCACUGGACAACUCCUGACGCUGAGGUGCGAAAGCCAGGGGAGCGAACGGGAUUAGAUACCCUAGUA